rnacentral:rRNA from 1 species
GAUGAACGCUAGCGGCAGGCCUAAUACAUGCAAGUCGAACGGAUAUAUGUUUUUCGGAAUAUAUAUUAGUGGCGCACGGGUGAGUAACACGUACAUAACUUGCCCUCAAGCGGGGGAUAGCCUUGGGAAACUGAGAGUAAUACCCCAUAGAAUUAUUGGACGGCAUCGUUUGAUAAUUAAAACUACGGUGUUUGGGGAUAGAUGUGCGUCUGAUUAGCUAGUUGGUGAGGUAACUGCUCACCAAGGCGACGAUCAGUAGGGGGCGUGAGAGCGUGGCCCCCCCACACGGGGUACUGAGACACGGACCCGACUCCUACGGGAGGCAGCAGUAAGGAAUAUUGGUCAAAUGGAGGGAACUCUGAACCAGCCAUGCCGCGUGAAGGAUGACGGCCCUCUGGGUUGUAAACUUCUUUUGGAUGGGGCGAAAAAACGGGAUUUAUCCUGGACUGACGGUACCAUCAGAAUAAGCACCGGCUAACUCCGUG